rnacentral:hammerhead_ribozyme from 1 species
AUGCAGUUGAUAAGUCCCAAUUAGGACGAAACGCGCGUCCUGGAU